AAAAAAAAAAAAAAAAGAUUUUGUGUGUAAACAGUUGGGAAAAAAAUAAGCAAAGACAUCCAUGCUAUAUUUCAAUUACAUGCAAAAUUGCUUGUUGGGUGUGAACCAGGGGUGUGCAAACGUUUGGUCCUGGACGGCUGGUCCUGCAUAGCUGAGCUUCAAUACUAAUCAAACACACCUGAGCAUGCUAAUCAGUGUCUUCAAGAUCACUUGAAACCUAUUAGCACGCGUGUUUGAUUAGAGUCAAGCUGCAGUCACACUGGCGUUUGAUAAUGCGAAAUUCUGUCAUGCGGCGCUGCAAAAGGGGAGGGAUAAAACAAGAUUAUUAGACAUAAAAAAAGCGAGGGAUUGCUCCAUAUUAUAAAUUUCUGUCCAGAGAGGUCAUGUUUUGAUCCUCGAUUGGUCUCAAACAGUCAAGUGAUGCAAUUUCGCAGGUCAGAGUUCACCGAUCUUGAACUUUGCACUGCAGCAACCUGCAAAACUUGAUGCAUAACCCAUGCGUUUCCGGUCUGACGCAUUCGUGCGUAUGCCAAAAAAAGUCUAUGGAGGGGGAAAAAAUUAAUCUAUGGGAGGAAAAGCCCAGUGACCGCAGCUUUAGAGCUAAACUAAACAUUACACCGAAAGAACAAGAUUAGUUGAAUUAGAAACAGCUGCACCUCAUUAACUGAAGGUGUGGUUUGAAAUUGGUUUAUAGCUUCACAUUAAUUGCAAAUACCCCUCACCUUUUGGAUUUCUAACUGGGUCAAAUGCUUUUGUGACAUGCUUACAUAGGGUUUGAUAAACUUGUUUUAAAUGUAGCUGCUUGGUAGGUAGCUCAUAUUACUGAAGUUACAUUGCAGGAUUUCAGGGGAAUGGAACAUAUUGUGAAAAUAUUCAUCUCAAGAAAACUAAACAUUUGUAGAGUGAUUUAAUAUAAUACAUUGUAUUAUCUUCAACCCAAGCUAUAGAUGCAUGUGCAGAGAGGAAUGGAGGUUGCUCAGCCCAUGCUGUGUGUAAGCAUACUCUUCCCAGAAGGAGAAUAUACAUGUGCCAUCCAGGUCAUGCAGGCAAUGAAAAAGAAAAUUGUAUUUAUCUUGGAAAUCAUGGCCUCUACAGUAUUUGUCUUAAGAACAAACUUAUAGAAUGCAGUCAAUAGAUCUUCUAAAGCGGACUCCUGAAAACACCAGAAUCAUGAGGUACCACAUAGUGUGCUGCCGGACCCUCCUUCCACAAGACCUCAUGCAGCCUCGUAACCUGACCACACUUUCUGGGGACAUCCUCUCCAUCACAUACUCUGAGGAAGAAGACAAGCAUCAAGUGAUUUUCAGUGGAGUCUUUGAGCUCCUGCAGGACAGCUGAAAUCACCUCUGAAACCAAGCAGUCAGUGCAGCUCUCUUUCUGAACACAAGAGGAAAAUGUGAUAAAGGAUUUAAGGAAACAAAUAAAAAUAAAGAAGUGUUAAGGUUGUGGAUUAUUUCCAUCUGCUUUAGUUUUCUUUGUGUUGUAAUUAUUUGACACAUGCAUGCUUAAUUAUCCUGCACCUGGACAUCAUUUUCAGUCAGGUUGAAUGAUGAAAAUCCACACCAUCAUGUUGGUCUUUGGGAAAUGGUGAACUGGUUGCAGUUAAUACAGUACACUCAGAAUUAAGAAACAAAUAUAAUAGAUUUUGCACCUGAAAUGUUGGAAGAAGGUAAACAGGUAAGAGUACUUGCUUUAAGAAUUGUGUAAAGAUUAUAUGACGAUGUUUGACACAUUUUAUACCUAAAACUACAUGAUAUAUAAAGAUGUGUACAUCAGAUAUGUUUUCUAUUAUUGAAUUUCGUCAAUGCAAGAUGAGUUGGAUGAUUUAUCAAAAAUGAAUCCAUGUUAUUCUGGUCGAGAUCUUGACAGAAUCAUAUUUUAGUUUUUAUUCUCGCUCUCCUCUGGCUGAACAUGAACAUGUUGAUACACUUAUUGACCACAAGAGGGAGCUCAUAUUUCUUAUCUGCCUAAUACACAUUAUUUAUUAACAUGCCAAUAUUUACAUUUCAUCAAGUAUAAAAAUGUCAACAUGAAAGUCGUUUUGGAAUAUAGUCAAUAAUAGUUGAAAUCUCUUGCGGUAGAAACUGCAGUUUUUCACCCACUCCACUAGGCGGCAGAAGCAAUGCUCAGCUCGACUCAACACGAAUCAGGUGGGAAGACGUAGAACUUCAGAUGACAGCAGCACGCUCGUCAUGACAACAGAAUGAGGGAUGUGUUUGGACCGUACAGUCAACAGAAGCAGAGCUCCGGGACGUUUGGACUACAUUUACUGGCGUGAUGGACGUCUGCUGCGGACAGGAAAAGAACACAGAAGUGAAGACGGUGUGAUCAAGACUGAACACAGGUCAGUUACAAGCUCUUAUACAGUAUAUAGUGAGAGUGAUUUUGAAAAACAGCUUCAUUAGGCUUUAUGAUUAUUUUCUUUGAACCAGUUCGAUUGAUUUGAAGCAUUUACAGCGGUCAAAUUCAAUGAAUCAAUUCAAUUGAUUCAAUUAAAUUGAUUCAUUGAUGUUUGGACUGUGUUCUUAUUGGCAGUUACACCAUUUCAACCUGUAGGUGUAGAGCAAUUCAAUUAAUUUGAAUUGUUCAAAGCAAUUCAUUUCUAUUUAAUGUAUCAUUUUAAAACCUUUAUUUGAAUACAGCCACAUGAUAUUGUCCUCUGCAAAGUUUCUAUCAACACAUUUCUGACAGAGACUCCUCCCCUGCUUAUCGUCCAAUCUCUGUGUGCAUAGUUAACAAGCAUGCUGACAUCAUCCAUAGCAAUGGGCUGAACCCCGGCCUCAAUCUUAGCUCAAGACAUCUCUCCAGUAAACCUUUGAAUCUGCAGCUUUGUGAAUAAGUUGUAAAAGAAAACUCUUAGCUUAAAACUUUUUCCGAUGUUGAGGAGAAGAUAAGUUUUGUGAAUACGGACCCUGAUUCACAACCUGUUUUUAGGAACCUGUGUGUAUUUGAUAAGAGAAACAUGUAAAAUGUGGAGCUCUGUUGGUCCCCAGGACUGGAGUCUAAAACAGACAUCAGUGUAGAUCCAUUCCAACAGAAGUCAUCUAAUAAGAAAAAAAA